CCAUUGGGAUAUUUAGAAUUACCCUAAUUAUUCAAAGGCUGCUUAAUAUAAUUGAAAUGCUUUUAUACUGCACUAUCACUAUUCACUAGAGUACUAAUUGCUUACUGCUUCAGAAAAACGAUGAAAAGUGAAACCUCAUGUUGCUCAAUUCACCAAUUACUGCUUCGCCGCCCUACCGCACCACCGUCACCCCAUCUCCCCCCCGUCGUUCCACCGCCACACUGUUGAACAUCACUUCACUGUACCGCACCACUACACCACCACUGCACUUUCCAAUUUUCAAGCACUUUUACUAAGUCACCCAAAGAAAGACAUGGUGACAUUGCAGAAUACCAGCAAUUUAUAAAUAUAUUGACAAAGCUAAUGAUCGACAAGCUUAGGGGAAGAUGGAUUUCAUAUGUUACCGGAUGCCAUCAACCAAUGCAAAUGACGACAUUGAUGAUUUAUCUGGAUUGAAGAUCUAUGAUAUUGGUAUAUCUAAGCUAGAUUUUACUUUUUAAUUUAUUUUUAUCAACAUCAAUAGGAAAGGUGUUUUGAUAAAUAUAUAUAUAUCUUGUAUUUGUAUAGAACAAAUUUUCGAAUGAAUGAUUAAAUUUAAUUGUUGGAUGUCUUAAA